rnacentral:lncRNA from 1 species
GGUAAUCUCUAUAUACGGAGAAAUUCUAGUUACAGAAUCAAAACUAGCCUGAAGAAGAGAGAGGAAGAGGAAGAUGAAGAGGAAGCAGAAGAGAAAGAGUAUUUUUAUUGCUAGUGUUUUGAUGGAGAGAAGAAAGUAUAUUAUAAGAGGGGUAAAAAUGUUAAUUUACCUUACUGAUUAAUUAGAAUUAAUUAUUUUAUCUACGGUUAACUAAAUUUUUCUAGUGAAUCCUAAGGACAUGGGUAUAUUUAAAAAUAUUAAGAUUUUUACAGGAUAACAUAAGAAAGUUGAACUUUGUAGGAAUAUAUUUAUAAUUCGUUAUUUAUAGAGAGUUUGUAUGCAAUUAACCCUAUUUUUUAAUUAAAAAACCCACUCCUUGGUAAAUCCUAUAACUCUUGAGUUAAGGGUCGUAGAGAUUAUAGCUCCUUUUGACUAUACACAUGGCAUUUUUCUUAUCUAAAAGGCUAGCUUACACUUUUGAUCCUCAAACCGCGAGGAUCGUGACACUUUGAUCCUCAAAAUUUAUUUUAUUGGUAUUUUUGGCUCAAGCUUUAUAAAUUUUUAUAAUUAUGCCCCAUAACCUAAUAUAUUUGACUAAAUAUUGAUACUCCGCUUGUGCGGCAAGAAUAUAUAUAACAGGGUUAUGAUCAGCUGUGCAAUAGUUAAAUUGUCACAUAAAUAACACAUCAGCAGUAUAUCAACAUCUAGUCAACUAAAUUAGACUGUAUUAAAGGAGAAAUUGUAACAAGCUAAAGAAUGUAAAUGUGAAAAUAUCGUAAUAUAGAGUUUACAUUCUCUUGCAUCUUUGAUAUACCUUUUGCAAAUGUUUGAUGCUAAUAUUUUCUGUUUGGAUAUGUAUGCAUAGACUUUGUUACGCCUUGGACUGAUAGGAAAAAUUCUGUCCGUUCGACGGGUCUGUUUCGGGUCCGAGCUGUCCAAAUUGGCGAUGUCGGGUCGUGACAGUAUUACUCAAUUGCAACAAUUUCAAAAGUUCUAACAAAAAAUUAUAAUAAAUUAUAAUUUGAGUACCAAAGUGUCACACGCUUUAUAGUUUGAG